AGAUGGUGUGAGGCUGUGGCAUCUGUCACCACAUUAAUGUGAACUUGAUUCUUGGCUAAGAAAGCAACCCCUUCCUUCCUCACUGCUCCAUGUGAGACCCUCCUGAAGCUAUACUGGUUCAGAAGAUGCCUUCCUCAAUAGAGGAGGACUGUUGUUGGGUCAAGGGUGUGUAUAUGAGCAGUUGUACUCCCCAGCUAGAAGCAACAUCCCAAACUUAGGAGGGCUCAGGGUAGGGUCCAGGAGGAGAACUGCAUCCCAGAGGAUGGUCAGAGCUG
rfam:Cricetulus griseus cell line CHO-K1, whole genome shotgun sequence.